GAUGAACGCUGGCGGCGUGCCUAAUACAUGCAAGUCGAGCGAACAGAUAAGGAGCUUGCUCCUUUGACGUUAGCGGCGGACGGGUGAGUAACACGUGGGUAACCUACUUAUAAGACUGGAAUAACUCCGGGAAACCGGGGCUAAUGCCGGAUAACAUUUAGAACCGCAUGGUUCUAAAGUGAAAGAUGGUUUUGCGAUCACUUAUAGAUGGACCCGCGCCGGAUUAGCUAGUUGGUAAGGUAACGGCUUACCAAGGCAACGAUACGUAGCCGACCUGAGAGGGUGAUCGGCCACACUGGAACUGAGACACGGUCCAGACUCCUACGGGAGGCAGCAGUAGGGAAUCUUCCGCAAUGGGCGAAAGCCUGACGGAGCAACGCCGCGUGAGUGAUGAAGGUCUUCGGAUCGUAAAACUCUGUUAUUAGGGAAGAACAAAUGUGUAAGUAACUGUGCACGUCUUGACGGUACCUAAUCAGAAAGCCACGGCUAACUACGUG
rnacentral:rRNA from 1 species